AGAGUUUGAUCCUGGCUCAGAACGAACGCUGGCGGCAGGCUUAACACAUGCAAGUCGAGCGGGUAGCAAUACCAGCGGCAGACGGGUGAGUAACACGUGGGAACCUUCCUAGAGGUACGGAACAACGCAGGGAACUUGCGCUAAUACCGUAUGUGCUCUUGCGAGGAAAGAUUUAUCGCCUUUAGACGGGCCCGCGUCGG
rnacentral:rRNA from 1 species